CUUCUUCUUCCUCUCAAACUUUCCCCAAUCUAUCCCAUACCUUGCGCCCUUGAACCAAAACUCAUAUCCUUCAACAAUUUAUUCUAAUUCCAUUACUCAAUCAUAUUGUGUGUUUUGAUUGUAAUGUUAAGUUGAAACAUUGUAUGCUACUUAAGUUUGAUUAAUUUAGUGAUGGUUGUUGCGAUUGAUUGCAAAUUCAUUCAUAAAGUUUGUAGAUAAUAAAGGCAAGAAUACAUCUUUUUCAUCCCUCUUUUUUUUCCACAAUUCCCUCUUAUUCUUCCAGAUUGCUACAAUUACCAUACAUAAAUAGUCAGAUCCCCUUUCAUCUUUUCUCACUCACAUUCAAAUUCAAACUCUAAUUUCUCAAAUUUUUGCUUUUGAAUUGUGUAAUUUUGUGUUUUUAUGUAAUUGGUGUAGAGAGUUUAUGUUGUUUUAAUGUGUUGAUUAAGAGUGGGUCUUGUUGUUGUUGAUUGAUGAUUAUUAGUUUUGUUUAAAAAAAUAUAUAUGUUUGUUGUUUUCUUUCUUUUCCUGGGUUUGGUGUUGAUGAUUUAUGAAUAUGGUGAUGAAGAUGAAGAAGACAAUGAAGGAAGAAGAAGAAUAAGAUCUUGAUUUUAAAUUUGAAAUUUUGAUUUUACGUUUUUUAUUUUAGUCCCUGUGGUAAUUUACGCUUUUGAUUUUAGUCCCUGACUUUACACAACUAAUCAUCUCUCAUGCCAUCUCAUCAAAUGUGCCAAGUCAUGACCUGCCACCUGUGCUCCGUUAGCCACAAUGGCGUUUUUGUUGACAGAAGCUGAUGGUAAGGACCAUUUUCAAAAGGUCAAAAAGAUACAAGGUUUAUUUUAUAUAAAAAAAAAAACUUACAAGGACGAAAACAAAAAAUACGCGAACUUAGAGGAACCUUUUACAUAUUUAAGCCAAUAACUAAUAGCACUUAUUUUGGUACAUUUCUCUUUUGCAAAUGUGAAACUUAAUAUUGGAUGGGGUCAAUAAUUUUGAGAAUGAAUAAACCCAUUAUUUAGUCUUUUAAUUUUUUUUUUCCAUCCAUCAGGUUUCUAAACUAUUUACAAACACUAAAUGUCCUUAAGACAUAGCUCAAGUAACAAUAUUGAUAUUGAGAAGUUGGAUAUUUUCAUCCGAGUUUGAACUCGAAUUCUUGCAAUUACGAGUGUGAAUUUCAGGUAAUUUAUAUCAAUUUAUCUGUAAACAAAAGGAGAUAUAUACGCGUAACAAAUAGGUCUAAUGCAAAUUAACAACUUAUUUUUAGUUUAUAAAAUAUAUGAAAUUUAAUCCUUUAGUCCCUAGUAUAUUUUAACAAUGGGCACUAAAGCAACAUAUAUUUCAUAUAUUUUAAAUACUACUACAUCUUUCCUUAUGUAUAAGCUCAUUUGACAUUUUCACAUAUAUUAAAAAAGUUAGUAGUGUCUUGACAAAAAAGAAGCUCCUUAGAGUUUCCUUAUGUAUAUUUUUUUAAACCGAAAAAAUUGUGUACAAAAAAUGACUAUUAUUACUAAAAAAAAUCUUUUGCAUAUAGAUGUGUUCAACAUUUAUUUUGCAAUUCUCAAGACAAAUCAGUGGUACAUCUUAAUAAGUGAUAUAUUUGUUAGGAAAAAAAAUUACUAUAUGUAUCUAGUUAUUUGCAAGACUAAUGAUUCUUAGCAAAUAUGCUUAUAUUGAGAGAACUUUUUUCUAAAGAGAGCUUAUAAUUAGAGACUAAGAUUUUGCCAAAAAAUAAAGAAAAAUUAGAGAAUAAGGUUUAUACUAUACUUUAGAAACUAAUUUGAUGAGAUACGACUAAAUCGAAGAUAUAUUUUUUUAGAAUAGUGUUAGAACCUUAGAAAUUAUAAUCAAUAGAAAUAGAAAUGUUCCUUACAGAUCCAUAAUAGUGACAAUCUUGUCUUUUCUUUUGAGGAAAUAAUAAUAAAGGUGGUGCCAACAUUUCAACAAACCUAGCUAUUUUAAUUAUUCUGUUCUCACAGCCUGCACCUUAGAUCAAAUCCAAAUUGGGUCAUCACCGUUCCAAAAUGCUUAGGGACGUUACUCUAAAUGUCAAUAUGAAUGAGUAAUUCAAAUAGUUAACAUAGCCCGCCAGCCUUAUAUAAUAAUAUCAAUAUAUGUCGACUAAUUAUCGAGAUGCUAAAUUGGAGUACACUUCACAAACAAAAAUCUUUCAUAAGGCGUUUUUUCUCUUAAUACAUUUUUUCUUUUCUUAUGCUAGUAACAUUUACUCUGUAUUGGCCUUCCUAAGAAGAAGUUGGAUAGUAGCAAUGUGUUCGUGAGACUGCUGAUAUCUUAAAAGAAUGUUCUCAUAGAUUCCACUUUUUUAGUAAGCUUUUAUGUGUAUGAGUUUGCAAAUUUAACCCUUUUUAAUUCGGAUAGAUUUAUAAGUCACACCUUCAAGUACAAUCGACAAAAUUUCAGUAAUAAUUACGGUUUAGGGUUUAUGGGUCUAGAUCUACUAAAAAUGAGUGGGUGUAUAAAUUAGUAUAUCCUAGAGUUUAUUAUCUUACGUUCGAUCUUCUUUGCAGAAACUCGUGCAUGUUCGUGAUAUAUAUUUUCGCGAGAAGUACAUUUCCCUAAAACAAAAUCAACCACUGACAUAAACACGUCAAAUGUAAGCCGGUAAAUCCAAGCUUUACUAACACGAGUUAUAUUAUAUCAUUGGCAUCAGCUACUUAAGAACUACUGUAGAAAAUUUACAGCAAGUCAUCGAGGCUUAAUAAAAUGUGUUGAUAUAGUUACAAAGAUAAAUUAAAUAGCAGAGCAUACAUGAAGAGAACAAAUGUAGAGCAACCCCUUAAACAAACCCUCUCAGUAAGGUAUCUUCACAUUACUCUAAGUUCAUAAAAGAUGACUUUAAAAACGAUUAUUUCAAAAUGCAAGUAUUCUCCGACCCCUUUUUCCCGGAUCUAGAUCUAAUAGUGUAAGGAUAUAUAUAAAUCAUUGUCACAUUUUACAACUCAAGAGUUUACCUCAACUCGUUUUGUUUAGGUAAAUUCGACUCGAGAACUCGUAUGACUUUACCUAAAAUUAAAAUUAUAUAAAAUUUAUUAUAUAUGCAUGACAUAUGUAAGUUAAUAUAAUAUUGUAAAUAGGUCAAUAGUGCAAAAUAUGACUUAAUUACAAAGACAAAUUAUACCAUAAUAAAAUGUUAUGCUCAACUUAGCUUCAAAAUACAAAAAUUAACGCACAAAAUCAUAAGUCUCUAAGUUUAAGCCAUCCAUAAAACCAUCCAAAAAAAGAAAGUUUCACAAGUUCCUAAAGUUAUUAAUAAAACUAUCUAAAAAAUAAAGUAGUUAAUUUCUUCAAAACGUCAACAAACACCACCACAACAACCCUAACCAGUGUCACAAUCACCGGCGUUGAAAUAUGAAUUUCCACCGUCUGAAUCACAACCCUAAAUGGUAUGUGCUCCCCUGUUCAUGGUUUGAGAACUUAGAAAAGAAAAAGGGCAAUCCGGUGCACUAAAGCUCCCACAUACGCAGGGUCCGGGAAGGGGUCCCACCAUUUUUUGUGUAUUGUACGCAACCUUACCCUGUUUUUGAUCACAAAAGAAAAAGAAACGUUUCAUUUUAGGAACAACUUGUCACUGUAAAGGUAACUAUUAAUUAAACGUUUCAGUCUUUGGGGUUGUAGAAAAGGAAUUGGAUUUUGAAAAAAAUGGGCACAUAAAAAGGGCCAAUUUUUAGAUGUAAACUCGUAAAACUCAGUAAACUCGGUCGAGUUUACACGAGUUUACCUAGUGUUAACUCGGUCAAACUCGUUAAACCUUCCAAUUUUACCAGAAACCGAGUUUACCUCCGAAUUAACAUGAUUUUGGCACCUACGUAAACUCGAAGAGUUAACACUCAAUUUGCGGAACAUUGCAUAUAUAUUUAAAGAUAUAUGUAUAAUUAUAGAGAAAGUAGAGAAGGGAUAUACCAUUUUAUGUAGGGUUAUUAUGUAUCAAAUCAUAAAGAGUCGAGAGUUGUAUUAUACCAUAAUAUUCUUCCGUAAACUGGUAGUCAUGAUCAUGACGUAUAUUAUUCAAGUAUAUGCAAAAACAUGUCUGUAUCUAGUCUAAAUUUUUGACCAAAUGCAUGUAUUUGCUUAUAUUUUGUUACUACUUACUACUCGCCAAGUAAUGCUCAAUAUCUAAUAUAUAUAUUUCAAGACCAUCAAAGAUAACUCAGUUGAACAAUACAUAAUAUAUGCAAGGUUCGGGGUAUAUUACAUUUUCAAUUAUUCUAAUAAUAAAUUUAAAUGACACUUAAAUUAUACAACUAUUAAAUAGAUCUUAGUACCGUAAAAUUUAUAUUCGAGACUUGCUAGGGAGAACCAUCAACCUCAACAAAAAUUUCUACUUGAAUCUAACGCAAACAAAAGGUCCAACCAUCUAUGAAUCUCCGUUGAUAUCACAAAUGAUGUUUGAUACAAGAGAGACAUAUUAGAACAUAAUCUAUGUACAAUCUACAUUAAAAUAAAAAACAAGUCUACAGUCAUAUAAAUAACACAAUUUCAAAAUCUCAAAAUUAGGUAUGAAAACAAAAUGAUUAGAAAAAUAAAUGAUUCAAUCAUUCCGAGAUUUGUGCAAAAAAAAAAAAAAAAACAUUUUGAAAAUACAAUGUUAGAAACUUAUGAUCAAUAUAUAUUUUUCCUUACACAUCAAAAAUAAUUAAGCUAUAUUCUUGUCUUUUCAUUUUGGGCAAACUAAAAUUAAAAUCAAGGUAGUGUCAAUGUUUCUAUAGUCCUAGCUAUUUGAUUUUCUUCUAAGCUAACAAGAGUCUUCCAAAAUCAAAUUCGCGCUCAAAAUUAAAGCAACUUGGGUGGUAACCAUUCCAAAAUACUUAGGGCCACAUUGCUCUAAAAGUCAAUAAGAAUAAGUAAUAAUUCAAAGAUAGCCAACCUUAUAGUAUAUUUUAAUAUGAAUGUAUGCAUGUUUCCUAGAAGGUGAGUAAGCUAACUAAUCAAGAUACUUUGUUGGAGUUAAAUAUGGUAAAGAAUCCAACUAUAAAAUGGGGACUUGCCCCAGCAUUCUUUCACAAACCAAAACCAACUUCUAAGAAAAAAAUGAGGUCCCUAAUGGCCUCUGCUUCUCUCACUCUUGCAUUAGCCAUCCUCUUUUUGAGUUUCCCAUCUGAAAUUUCAGCAAACAAAUACGCAUAUUCCUCUCCACCACCACCACAUUACUCAUCUCCUCCACCUCCACCGGUUCACACUUACCCUAAACCAGUCUACCACUCUCCACCACCACCAGUUCACACCUACCCUAAACCAGUUUACCACUCUCCACCACCACCAGUUCACAAGUACCCUCACCCUAAACCAGUAUACCACUCUCCACCACCCCCAGUUCACAAGUACCCUCAUCCACACCCAGUCUACCAUUCUCCACCACCCCCAGUUCACAAGUACCCCCAUCCUCACCCAGUGUACCACUCUCCCCCACCACCACCACCAAAGAAGUCCUACAAAUACCCAUCUCCCCCACCACCACCAGUUCACACCUACCCUAAACCAGUCUACCACUCUCCUCCACCCCCAGUUCAUCACACCUACCCUAAACCAGUCUACCACUCUCCUCCACCCCCAGUUCACACCUACCCUCACCCUAAACCAGUCUACCACUCUCCACCACCCCCAGUUCACACUUACCCUAAACCAGUCUACCACUCCCCACCACCACCAGUUCACACCUACGUCCCUCACCCUAAGCCAGUCUACCACUCUCCACCACCACCAGUUCACACCUAUCCCCCACAUGUUCCCCACCCAGUUUACCAUUCUCCUCCUCCUCCAGUUCAUUCCCCACCUCCACCACACUAUUACUACAAAUCACCUCCUCCACCUUACCACAACUAGAUAGCCCAUAAUUGGCAUCACACCAUAUGGUAACUUUUCAUGCAACAUAUAUAUUAUAACUUUUCAUAUUCUCUCUUUAUUAACUAGUUAUCGGUAUGAUUGUCGAGUAUAUACUAACAAGGCUAAUUUGAAAUGAAACUUCAUGUGCAAUGAAACAUUCUUUUACUGGUUAAUAUUUUAUUCUAUGUUUCAUUGAAAUUAAUAUUUUUCUAAUAGUAUUUGGUUAUUAAGGGAUUAGAGUAUAUCAGACAUAAACUGACAGAUCAAUAUAUUUGC
rnacentral:lncRNA from 1 species